rnacentral:rRNA from 1 species
UGUGACCUCAAAUCAGGUAGGACUACCCGCUGAACUUAAGCAUAUCAAUAAGCGGAGGAAAAGAAACUAACAAGGAUUCCCCUAGUAACUGCGAGUGAAGCGGGAAAAGCUCAAAUUUAAAAUCUGGCGGUCUUUUGGCUGUCCGAGUUGUAAUCUAGAGAAGUGUUAUCCGCGCUGGACCGUGUACAAGUCUCCUGGAAUGGAGCAUCAUAGAGGGUGAGAAUCCCGUCUUUGACAUGGACUGCCAGGGCUUUGUGAUGCGCUCUCAAAGAGUCGAGUUGUUUGGGAAUGCAGCUCAAAAUGGGUGGUAAAUUCCAUCUAAAGCUAAAUAUUGGCGAGAGACCGAUAGCGAACAAGUACCGUGAGGGAAAGAUGAAAAGAACUUUGGAAAGAGAGUUAAACAGUACGUGAAAUUGCUGAAAGGGAAACGCUUGAAGUCAGUCGCGUCAUCCAGGGAUCAACCUUGCUUUUGCUUGGUGCACUUUCUGGUUUGAUGGGUCAGCAUCAGUUUUGAUCAUUGGAAAAAGGCUCUGGGGAAUGUGGCAUCUUUGGAUGUGUUAUAGCCCCUGGUCAUAUACAAUGGUUGGGAUUGAGGAACUCAGCACGCCGCAAG